rnacentral:rRNA from 1 species
UACGUAGGGGGCAAGCGUUGUCCGGAAUUAUUGGGCGUAAAGCGCGCGCAGGCGGCUUCUUAAGUCCAUCGGUGAAAUGCCGGGGCUCAACCCCGAGCCGGCCGAGGAUACUGGGAGGCUGGAGACGAGUAGAGGCAAGCGGAAUUCCGGGUGUAGCGGUGGAAUGCGUAGAGAUCCGGAAGAACACCGGAGGCGAAGGCGGCUUGCUGGGCUUGGCCUGACGCUCAGGGGCGAAAGCGUGGGGAGCGAACGGG